rnacentral:rRNA from 1 species
GGGGGGAGGUUUCGGAUUACUGGGCGUAAGCGCGUGUAGGCGGCCGCACAGGUCCGUUGUGAAAACUGGAGGCUUAACCUUCAGACGUCGACGGAAACCGUGUGGCUAGAGUCCGGAAGAGGAGAGUGGAAUUCCUGGUGUAGCGGUGAAAUGCGCAGAUAUCAGGAAGAACACCAAUGGCGAAGGCAGCUCUCUGGGACGGUACUGACGCUGAGACGCGAAAGCGUGGGGAGCGAACAGGAUUAGAUACCCUGGUAGUCCACGCCGUAAACGAUGGGUGCUAGGUGUGGGAGGUGUCGACUCCUUCCGUGCCGCAGCUAACGCAUUAAGCACCCCGCCUGGGGAGUACGGCCGCAAGGCUAAAACUCAAAGGAAUUGACGGGGCCCCGCACAAGCAGCGGAGCAUGUGGUUUAAUUCGAUGCAACGCGAAGAACCUUACCAGGGCUUGACAUGGUCGGGAAAACCGUAGAAAUACGGUCCUCCUUCGGGACUCGAUCACAGGUGGUGCAUGGCUGUCGUCAGCUCGUGUCGUGAGAUGUUGGGUUAAGUCCCGCAACGAGCGCAACCCCUGUCCCAUGUUGCCAGCGAGUCAUGUCGGGGACUCAUGGGAGACUGCCGGUGACAAAUCGGAGGAAGGUGGGGAUGAUGUCAAGUCAUCAUGCCCCUUAUGUCCUGGGCUACACACGUGCUACAUUGGCCGGUACAGAGGGCUGCAAACCCGCGAGGGUGAGCGAAUCCCAAAAAGCCGGUCCCGGUUCGGAUUGAAGGCUGAACUCGCCUUCAUGAAGGCGGAGUUGCUAGUAAUCGCGGAUCAGCAACGUCGCGGUGAAUACGUUCUCGGGGCUUGUACACACCGCCCGUCACACCACGAAAGUUGGCAAUACCCGAAGCCGGUGGGCUAACCCCUCGGGGAGGCAGCCGUCGAAGGUAGGGUCGAUGAUUGGGGUGAAGUCGUAACAAGGUAACC